rnacentral:ncRNA from 1 species
AUAUGACUUAAGAGGCAACUCUUAACUGGCCAGGUAGGGAAAGACCGAGAGGUUCAAGCCUACCGAGCAGAAAGCCCUGCAGAGUAGUGCUAAAAUGGCAGGGCGGCGGGUUCGGCGGUAGCACAUCAACGACGAACCAA